rnacentral:rRNA from 1 species
AACAGGAUUAGAUACCCUGGUAGUCCACGCCCUAAACGAUGUCUACUAGUUGUUGGUGGAGUAAAAUCCAUGAGUAACGCAGCUAACGCGUGAAGUAGACCGCCUGGGGAGUACGGUCGCAAGAUUAAAACUCAAAUGAAUUGACGGGGGCCCGCACAAGCGGUGGAUUAUGUGGAUUAAUUCGAUGCAACGCGAAAAACCUUACCUGGCCUUGACAUGUAACGAACUUUCCAGAGAUGGAUUGGUGCUCGAAAGAGAACGUUAACACAGGUGCUGCAUGGCUGUCGUCAGCUCGUGUCGUGAGAUGUUGGGUUAAGUCCCGCAACGAGCGCAACCCUUGCCAAUAAUUGCCAUCAUUUAGUUGGGCACUUUAUUGGGACUGCCGAUGACAAAUCGGAGGAAGGUGGGGAUGACGUCAAGUCCUCAUGGCCCUUAUGGCCAGGGCUUCACACGUAAUACAAUGGUCGGUACAGAGGGUUGCCAAGCCGCAAGGUGGAGCCAAUCCCAGAAAGCCGAUCGUAGUCCGGAUUGAGGUCUGCAACUCGACCUCAUGAAGUCGGAAUCGCUAGUAAUCGCGGAUCAGCAUGUCGCGGUGAAUACGUUCCCGGGCCUUGUACACACCGCCCGUCACACCAUGGGAGUGGGUUUUACCAGAAGUAGGUAGUCUAACCGCAAGGAGGACGCUUACCACGGUAGUAUUCAUGACUGGGAUGAAGUCGUAACAAGGUAACC